CAUACCAAUAAUCUGAUUCCUAGUGUCGAUUGACAAUCGUCUCCGUGCCAUGUUCAAUGAAUAUGCUUGAAUGACCGUUUCAGCCAACGUUAGAUACCCACAAAUACAAUUGGGCCAUACUGCUUUUUGUGAUCCUCGGU